GCGGUUGAUGAUGAUGAUCUUGUACUCUACAUCCUUGAUGGUUUGGGUGCCGAGUACAAAGGUAUUGUAGAAGCGAUUCGAGGUCGUGAAAAUCCCAUAUCUUUUGAGGAUCUCCAUGAUCGUCUUGUCAGUCAAGA